UUUCGUCCUCUCUCUCUCUCUUUCCCUCCCCCCCUCUCUCUCUCCCAAAUAUGAAAAGUUGAGGGGAAUGUUGUCUGGUUCGAAAUCAUUCAUGCAAAGCUCAAGCUAAGCUAUCAUCUGAAUGAUUUCGGACCAGGCUUCAUUCCCCUCAACAAGAUGAACUUUCACCACCGUUCAGGAUGGAUCGAUGUAACUGCGAUGAAGAUGUACGUACCGACGACGUUCUUUGUUACUAGCUGCAAACAUUCUUAUCUUCAGUAAACCGUUUACCUCCGAUCGAGUACGGGAUCCUUAAUUUCCAAUUCAAGUCUAUGGCAAAAACGUACAACCAACGUCUAUAUAAAUAUAUGUAUAUAUAUAUAUAUAUAUAUCUCGCUAGCUAGCUAGCCGGAAAUUGGAAAUCGGGGCGGCAGCGCAGGCGAAAGCACAACCAGAAGCGAGCACCAAGUAGGUGGGCCAUGAUCAGGUUUUCUGAAGUAAUUUACUAUUUCAAGGCAUACACACUCACAAAGGGAUGCAUGAGGAUCCAAAUAAGAUAAUGUUGAAUUGUCAGAUUGUAAGUUUCGCGUUGAAAUAUACAGUUUUGUGUAAAGAUGAUUGGAAAUCGUGAUCUUUUCUUAAUUAGCACAGUUUUAGACACAUUUCGAUAUUUUGAUCAUAAAUUUAGUUACAUGUAUUAGACUUGCGCA